rnacentral:rRNA from 1 species
GGCAAGCGUUAUCCGGAAUUAUUGGGCGUAAAGCGCGCGUAGGCGGUUUUUUAAGUCUGAUGUGAAAGCCCACGGCUCAACCGUGGAGGGUCAUUGGAAACUGGAAAACUUGAGUGCAGAAGAGGAAAGUGGAAUUCCAUGUGUAGCGGUGAAAUGCGCAGAGAUAUGGAGGAACACCAGUGGCGAAGGCGACUUUCUGGUCUGUAACUGACGCUGAUGUGCGAAAGCGUGGGGAUCAAACAGGAUUAGAUACCCUGGUAGUCCACGCCGUAAACGAUGAGUGCUAAGUGUUAGGGGGUUUCCGCCCCUUAGUGCUGCAGCUAACGCAUUAAGCACUCCGCCUGGGGAG